rnacentral:SRP_RNA from 1 species
GGGAGAUCGGCGCGGGCGAAGUCCUCGCGAACCCGGUCAGGUCCGGAAGGAAGCAGCCGCAACGAGUUUUGCUUCGGGUCGC